GACGAACGCUGGCGGCGUGCUUAACACAUGCAAGUCGAACGGAAAGGCCCUGCUUUUGUGGGGUGCUCGAGUGGCGAACGGGUGAGUAACACGUGAGUAACCUGCCCUUGACUUUGGGAUAACUUCAGGAAACUGGGGCUAAUACCGGAUAGGAGCUCCUGCUGCAUGGUGGGGGUUGGAAAGUUUCGGCGGUUGGGGAUGGACUCGCGGCUUAUCAGCUUGUUGGUGGGGUAGUGGCUUACCAAGGCUUUGACGGGUAGCCGGCCUGAGAGGGUGACCGGCCACAUUGGGACUGAGAUACGGCCCAGACUCCUACGGGAGGCAGCAGUGGGGAAUAUUGCACAAUGGGCGGAAACCUGAUGCAGCAACGCCGCGUGCGGGAUGACGGCCUUCGGGUUGUAAACCGCUUUCGCCUGUGACGAAGCGUGAGUGACGGUAAUGGGUAAAGAAGCACCGGCUAACUAUGUG
rnacentral:rRNA from 1 species